rnacentral:rRNA from 1 species
UACGUAGGGUGCAAGCGUUGUCCGGAAUUAUUGGGCGUAAAGAGCUCGUAGGCGGUUUGUCGCGUCUGCUGUGAAAUCUGGAGGCUCAACCUCCAGCCUGCAGUGGGUACGGGCAGACUUGAGUGGUGUAGGGGAGACUGGAAUUCCUGGUGUAGCGGUGGAAUGCGCAGAUAUCAGGAGGAACACCGAUGGCGAAGGCAGCUCGCUGGGACGGUACUGACGCUGAGGCGCGAAAGCGUGGGGAGCGAACAGG